UUUCCUGAAGAGACGUAAGGAUUGGGGGCUGCCGAAAACCAGGCCUGAGGCAUAUAAGAUGAGUUUGGGCAAUAUAACAAAUAAUCUGUUGCUGUUGUGUGUCUUUAGGGGAUGUCUUGCCAUCAGUAGACUGGGAACAUGGGAUGCUUAUUCAUCUUAGGAGCAACAACUGAAAAGUAUUGUCCAGUUAUAGCAUGUCUGGCAAUAGGAGGGAUAGCCAGCAGACAAGCCAAAGCAGAAUGGAGGCUUCUAGUAGGGAUGUUUGGAAAGACACAAAACUGGAGUUACUGAGCAGCACAACCAUAAAGAAACCAGUGGAUCAGGACAAGAGGUUUGAACUGGAUCAUUGCAGUUCCUGUAAGUCAUUGCUGAGAGAGAGAGAGAGAGAGAGAGAGAGAGAGAGACAAAGAAACAAUGUGGACAAAUCAAAACACCAGUCGGGUACCAGCUUUCUGGAUUAGCAGGACAGGCUGAGUGGCAGUUGCUGAGUUUCCAGCUAGGAAUGCCUUGUUGUCGACCAGCCAUGAAAAAAAAGGUCCUCGACAGCCUCCAGAUACUGCUGCCCUUGAGGUCUGAAGCAGAGUGGCCCAGAGCUUGCUGGGUAACCAGCCUGAAAGUGGUGCUAUUAAAAAUGUAUCAAGAGCUGGAUUUGAGUUACACUCCUUCAGCUAAAUCAAACUCACGACGCA